rnacentral:rRNA from 1 species
UACAGAGGUCUCGAGCGUUAGGCGGAAUCACUGGGCUUAAAGCGUGUGUAGGCGGAUCGGUAAGUACCUUGUGAAAUCCCACAGCUUAACUGUGGAACUGCUUGGUAUACUGCCAGUCUUGAGCCACUUAGGGGCUACCGGAACAAAUGGUGGAGCGGUGAAAUGCGUAGAUAUCAUUGGAACGCCAAUGGUGAAAACAGGUAGCUGGGAGUGUGCUGACGCUGAGACACGAAAGCCAGGGGAGCAAACGGG